rfam:Cavia porcellus supercont2_8 genomic scaffold, whole genome shotgun sequence.
GGGGGUUUAGCUCAGCGGCAUAAGCGCCUGCCUUGAAAGCAGGCAGUCGUGAGUUCGAUCCCUGCUACCGAUA